rnacentral:rRNA from 1 species
GACAGAGGGUGCGAACGUUGUUCGGAGUUACUGGGCGUAAAGCGCAUGUAGGCGGCAGCGCAAGUCGGGCGUGAAAUCCCACGGCUCAACCGUGGAAGUGCACUCGAAACUGCGCAGCUAGAGUCCUGGAGAGGAAGGUGGAAUGCUUGGUGUAGAGGUGAAAUUCGUAGAUAUCAAGCGGAACACCGGUGGCGAAGGCGGCCUUCUGGACAGUGACUGACGCUGAGAUGCGAAAGCGUGGGGAGCAAACAGG